rnacentral:rRNA from 1 species
GACGAACCGUGCGAACGUUGUUCGGAAUCACUGGGCUUAAAGGGCGCGUAGGCGGGCUAUCAAGUCUGGGGUGAAAUCCCGCGGCUCAACCGUGGAACUGCCUUAGAUACUGACGGCCUUGAGGAAGGUAGGGGCAUGCGGAACUGUAGGUGGAGCGGUGAAAUGCGUUGAUAUCUACAGGAACUCCGGUGGCGAAAGCGGCGUGCUGGACCUUUUACUGACGCUGAGGCGCGAAAGCGUGGGGAGCAAACAGG